GACGAACGCUGGCGGCGUGCUUAACACAUGCAAGUCGAACGGUAAGGCCCUUCGGGGUACACGAGUGGCGAACGGGUGAGUAACACGUGGGUGAUCUGCCCUGCACUUCGGGAUAAGCCUGGGAAACUGGGUCUAAUACCGGAUAGGACCACUGCCUGCAUGGGUGGUGGUGGAAAGCUUUUGCGGUGUGGGAUGGGCCCGCGGCCUAUCAGCUUGUUGGUGGGGUGAUGGCCUACCAAGGCGACGACGGGUAGCCGGCCUGAGAGGGUGACCGGCCACACUGGGACUGAGAUACGGCCCAGACGCCUACGGGAGGCAGCAGUGGGGAAUAUUGCACAAUGGGCGCAAGCCUGAUGCAGCGACGCCGCGUGAGGGAUGACGGCCUUCGGGUUGUAAACCUCUUUCAGCACCGACGAAGCGCAAGGGACGGUAGGUGCAGAAGAAGGACCGGCCAACUACGUGCCAGCCGCCGCCGUAAGAC
rnacentral:rRNA from 1 species